rnacentral:misc_RNA from 1 species
CAACCCUUAAGCCUAGCUUAGUGUUGGGAAUCUACUGUCCGGGUGGUGCUUACCCUGUAACGUACCUACCUUGUAGUUCCUAAAAUUCAACGGCGGAUCUAUGGUGUCCUCUGAGCGUAGUAAUUAUCUAUCUCGCUUCUGUUAGGCUCUGUAGCUCUAGCCGCUAAACCGCCUACUCUUAAAU